rnacentral:rRNA from 1 species
GACGAACGCUGGCGGCGUGCCUAAUACAUGCAAGUCGAGCGGAUCUUGUCCUUCGGGACAAGAUUAGCGGCGGACGGGUGAGUAACACGUGGGUAACCUGCCUGUAAGACUGGGAUAACA